ACGUAGGGGGCGAGCGUUGUCCGGAAUCACUGGGCGUAAAGCGCGUGCAGGCGGCCUGGUAAGUCCCGUGUGAAAGCCUACGGCUCAACUGUAGGAGGUCGCGGGAGACCGCCGGGCUUGAGGGCAGGAGAGGGAAGUAGAAUUCCCGGUGUAGCGGUGAAAUGCGUAGAUAUCGGGAGGAAUGCCAGUGGCGAAGGCGGCUUCCUGGCCUGUAACUGACGCUGAGACGCGAAAGCGUGGGGAGCGAACCGGA
rnacentral:rRNA from 1 species